AAACUCCAUAUGAAAAGAAUUGUGGUUAAAGUUCCACUGUUUCAGCCAAUACAUGACCUCCGGAAAAUACAUAUAAGCAAACAACGAAAUAGAAGGUAUAAGAAAAUCAAAAACAAAGAACCAAAGAGGAGUCUAUAGGUGGGCAUACCAAAUGCAUCAAUGGACUGACUUAAUAAUAACAUAAACAGGCAGAAGCACAACAGUAGGGAGACAAAAGAAAUUUUCAUAACAAAAUCUAGAGGAAUCACAUAAAAGGACACACAUUUUCAUAACAAAAUCUAGAGGAAUCCUAUUAAUAUCAUGGUCAACCUGAAACAAGUUAAAAACCUCAAGCCUACAAUUUCAGGACUAAUUUCUGCACACUCACACGCAACUUGCAGAAGUGAAGUUUUCCUAAAAACACUCGAAGCACAAGAAAAACAAAAGUAGAGAACUCAUCUUUGAGGUUCUUGACCAAUUACAGUUGAGCAUUCUCAUUAGCAAAAACAUAUCGCUCAAAUCCACGGCUGAAGCUUCAAUUCCUCAUCCUCCUACUGCAAGCAAAGAUCCAAUUGCAUCAUUAUCGCAAGAACCCAAAAGUAAUAGUUAAAAACCUAAAACAAGAAAGGCAGGGGGAAAUCACCUGAGCAGAGCACACAAAUAGGGCACUAGCAACAUCGAAAUCACUGCCGCCAUGACUUGCAGAUUACAGCGCUCCCAGUCAGUAGCCAAUUGGCUGAAAGCAUUGUCAAUGGCAAGCGCCACUAACACAGUCAGCCACCCUUGGUUGAAUCUAAACCCCUUUGCCUUCUUGGCACAAUCCAAACCGAAACUCCGAGCUUUGUUGCCCAAAUUAGAAGCGCAGUCAAUCGCUUUCUUCGCCAAAUCAGAAGGCACGCCCUCUUCUUUCUUGGCCUCAGCAGAAGCCUUCUUGCCCUCGCCAGUAUCGAGCAGCUUUGCUCUCUUGCCACAGACCUAACCCCCUUGCCCGC
rnacentral:lncRNA from 1 species